rnacentral:ncRNA from 1 species
UAUUUGUAAAGAUGUGGAUUACCUGCACAUGAAUUAAAAGACCCUAUAAAGCUUCACUGUUCCCUAGGAUUGGCUUUGGUCCUUUCCUGUGCAGCUUAGGUCGAAGGCAAAGAAGGCCUCUUUCUGUGGGGGCCGAGCCAUCAGUGAUAUAUCACUCUGGAAGGGCUAGAAUACUAACCUUAUGUCAAGACCUAUGAGCCAACGGACAAUCUCAGGUCAACAGUUUCUAUGGGGCGUAGGCCUCCCAAAAGGUAAUAUAGGCGUGCAACGGUUUCCUAUGGCCGAAUGAAGAUUAUACCUCGAGUGCAAAGGUGGAAGGAGAUUGACUGUAAGGACCACUCAUCGAUCAGGGACGAAAGUCUGCCUUAGUGAUUCAACGGUGCCGAUUUGUCGUUCAACAAAGAAAAGUUACUCUAGGGAUAACAGGCUGAACUUCCCCAAGAGUUCACAAUGAUGGGAAGGUUUGGCACCUCGAUGUCAGCUCUUAGACACCUGGGACUGAAGUAUGUUCCAAGGGUUGGGAUGUUCGGCCAUUAAAGUAGUACAUGAGCAGGGUUUGGAACGUUGUAAGACAGUUAGUUCCAUAUUCGGUGUGGGUGUUAGAGCAUUGAGAAAACCUUUACCUAGUAUGAGAGGACUGGUAAGGAUGCACCACUGGUGUACCAAUUAUCGUGCCCAUGUUAUACGCUAGGUAGCCAAGUAUGGAGUAGAUAACUGCUGAAAGCAUCUAAGUAGUAAGCCCACCCCAAGAUGAGUGCUCUCCUAGUUUGAAUUCACUAGAGCUUUUGGUAGCACAGUCGAGACGACUACGAGUUCUCUGCCCCUGAGAGGAUAGAGCGACAGAAGUUCAUUUGAGAAUUUAAGAGAAGGUCAUGACGAGAUGAGCCAUUUAUCAUUACGAUAGGUGUCAAGUGUACGUACAGUGAUGAAUGCAGAUGAGGCAUCCUAACAGACCGG